GAUGAAGAACGUAGCGAAAUGCGAUAAGUAAUGUGAAUUGCAGAAUUCAGUGAAUCAUCGAAUCUUUGAACGCACAUUGCGCCCGCCAGUAUUCUGGCGGGCAUGCCUGUUCGAGCGUCAUUUCAACCAUCAAGCCCCCCGGCUUGUGUUGGGGACCUGCGGCUGCCGCAGGCCCUGAAAAGCAGUGGCGGGCUCGCUGUCACACCGAGCGUAGUAGAUCUCAUCUCGCUCAGGGCGUGCUGCGGGUUCCGGCCGUUAAACCACCUUCAUAACCCAAGGUUGACCUCGGAUCAGGUAGGAAGACCCGCUGAACUUAAGCAUAUCAAUAAGCGGAGGA
rnacentral:misc_RNA from 1 species